UCCGGGUGGAUUAGUGGCGACGGGUGAGUAACACGUGGGCAAUCUGCCCUUCACUCUGGGACAAGCCCUGGAAACGGGGUCUAAUACCGGAUAACACUCUGUCCCGCAUGGGACGGGGUUAAAAGCUCCGGCGGUGAAGGAUGAGCCCGCGGCCUAUCAGCUUGUUGGUGGGGUGAUGGCCUACCAAGGCGACGACGGGUAGCCGGCCUGAGAGGGCGACCGGCCACACUGGGACUGAGACACGGCCCAGACUCCUACGGGAGGCAGCAGUGGGGAAUAUUGCACAAUGGGCGAAAGCCUGAUGCAGCGACGCCGCGUGAGGGAUGACGGCCUUCGGGUUGUAAACCUCUUUCAGCAGGGAAGAAGCGAAAGUGACGGUACCUGCAGAAGAAGCGCCGGCUAACUACGUGCCAGCAGCCGCGGUAAUACGUAGGGCGCAAGCGUUGUCCGGAAUUAUUGGGCGUAAAGAGCUCGUAGGCGGCUUGUCACGUCGGAUGUGAAAGCCCGGGGCUUAACCCCGGGUCUGCAUUCGAUACGGGCUAGCUAGAGUGUGGUAGGGGAGAUCGGAAUUCCUGGUGUAGCGGUGAAAUGCGCAGAUAUCAGGAGGAACACCGGUGGCGAAGGCGGAUCUCUGGGCCAUUACUGACGCUGAGGAGCGAAAGCGUGGGGAGCGAACAGGAUUAGAUACCCUGGUAGUCCACGCCGUAAACGUUGGGAACUAGGUGUUGGCGACAUUCCACGUCGUCGGUGCCGCAGCUAACGCAUUAAGUUCCCCGCCUGGGGAGUACGGCCGCAAGGCUAAAACUCAAGGAAUUGACGGGGGGCCCGCACAAG
rnacentral:rRNA from 1 species